AAAGGGACUUCGGUCCUGAGUAGAGUGGCGCACGGGUGAGUAACGCGUAGGUAAUCUACCUCUGCAUCUGGGAUAACACUUCGAAAGGGGUGCUAAUACCGGAUACACUCAUGCAUCGCGAGAUGUAUGAGGAAAGGAGACCUCUCCUUGGAAGUUUCUGUGUAGAGAUGAGCCUGCGUCCCAUUAGCUAGUUGGCAGGGUAAAGGCCUACCAAGGCGACGAUGGGUAGCGGGUCUGAGAGGAUGAUCCGCCACACUGGAACUGAAACACGGACCAGACUCCUACGGGAGGCAGCAGUGAGGAAUAUUGGACAAUGGGCGCAAGCCUGAUCCAGCGACGCCGCGUGAGUGAUGAAGGCCUUUGGGUCGUAAAGCUCUGUCAGCAGGGAAGAACGGCCGUGUGGUUAAUACCCAUGCGGAUUGACGGUACCUGCAGAGGAAGCACCGGCUAACUCCGUGCCAGCAGCCGCGGUAAUACGGAGGGUGCGAGCGUUAAUCGGAAUUACUGGGCGUAAAGGGCGCGUAGGCGGCUGAUCAAGUCAGAUGUGAAAGCCCACGGCUUAACCGUGUGAAGUGCAUCUGAAACUGGUCGGCUUGAGUAUCGGAGAGGAAAGUGGAAUUCCCGGUGUAGAGGUGAAAUUCGUAGAUAUCGGGAGGAAUACCGGUGGCGAAGGCGACUUUCUGGACGAAUACUGACGCUGAGGCGCGAAAGCGUGGGGAGCAAACAGGAUUAGAUACCCUGGUAGUCCACAGCUGUAAACGAUGUGCACUAGAUGUGGGG
rnacentral:rRNA from 1 species